rnacentral:rRNA from 1 species
UGGGGAAUUUUCCGCAAUGGGCGCAAGCCUGACGGAGCAAUACCGCGUGAGGGAGGAAGGCUCUUGGGUCGUAAACCUCUUUUCUCAGGGAAGAACACAAUGACGGUACCUGAGGAAUCAGCAUCGGCUAACUCCGUGCCAGCAGCCGCGGUAAUACGGAGGAUGCAAGCGUUAUCCGGAAUGAUUGGGCGUAAAGCGUCCGUAGGUGGUUUUGUAAGUCUGUGGUUAAAGCGUGUAGCUCAACUACAUAUCAGCCAUGGAAACUACAAGACUUGAGUGAAGUAGGGGUAGAGGGAAUUCCCAGUGUAGCGGUGAAAUGCGUAGAGAUUGGGAAGAACACCGGUGGCGAAAGCGCUCUACUGGACUUAUACUGACACUGAGGGACGAAAGCUAGGGGAGCGAAAG